ACUAGGGCGCCUACUGUAUACAUCUGUGAAACUAGUCAAAACAAUAAGCAGCAAAGGCAAUUGUUUCUUUUUUCACGGACAGGAACUCGGCCUGGGAAGAGACUAAACGAGGCCUGUUUCUUAAAUAAUUUCCGUUGUAGUUAUGCACUCAACAGGAUGCGUUAGUUUGAGUAAGUCACCAAGUACGCAGUCUUUAUUUGGCACAUGAGAGGCCUAUACGAAGGAGAUUUUCUAUUCUCAGAAAUGAAUUGAAUAUUGGCGAAUAGUUUGUAUUGAUGAAAGUGACGUGAUGAUGCGUGUACUGAUUCUGGUGUUGUCCAUUCUUGAAGCCGGCGGAACCAAUCGAGUAACCACAACAUGCACAUCCAACGCUUGCUUUACAUUACAUUUGCAGGAGGACAUUUUUAAAAGGGCACAUGAGAACUGUAUCAACAAUGGAGGCAAUUUGGUCACGAUGAGACAUCACGAUGAAUUAGAGAACGUCAGAUCAGCUCUUUUAGCAGCAGAUCAAUCCGUCCUAACAUCUAAACUUUGGAUAGGACUCGUGCUGCCUAAAGGACGCUGUACUGAUUUCAACGAGGAGUUGCAUGGCUUCAAAUGGACGUCUGAGCCAACGGAUUCCAGAUAUUCCAAUUGGAAAAAGAAGCCUUCACGGACGUGCACAGAGAAAAGGUGCGUGUCGGUUUCGUUAUCGGAUGAUCUCAAAUGGUCAGAUGGCUCGUGCAGAGACCGCGCCUUUUAUAUGUGCAAAUUUAUUUUCCGAGGCACGUGCAAACCCAUAACGCUGGAAGAACCUGUUGAUGUUAGUUAUAAUCUUCCAUUUUUAUCCAAACCACUAACUCAACAAGAUGGGUUGGCAAUGUUACCUCAUGGAACAAUGGCUGAAAUACGGUGCAGUGGGUCGGAGGACACUGAAGUAAUUCUCUCAUUGUGUGAUAACAAGCUGGGUACUUUCGGUUGGACAAAUUCAGAGCGUUUUUGCGCACGGGAUAAAAAAAGUUGCGAGCACAAAAACGGAGGUUGCGAUCACAUUUGUUCAGAAACAGCUGGAGAGAUUCGUUGUGAAUGUCGCAAGGGUUAUUACUUGAGAGAUGACACAUUUAGUUGUGCUCACAGAAACAACUGCGAAAAUUCACCGUGUGAGUCAAAAUGCGAAUCGACAGCCGCCGGUUUUUCAUGUGCAUGUCCGGAUGGAUUUCAGCUUGCGCGGGACAACGUCAGCUGCGUCGAUAUCGAUGAAUGCCGUCAAAGCAUCUGUGGGGAACACAGGUGUCACAACAAACCGGGAGGCUACUUUUGCGAGUGUAAACCCGGUUUCAGUCUUGUCGCCGGAAAAUGUGAAGAUGUGGACGAAUGCACCGAAUUCAGAUGUGACCAGGGCUGUCUCAAUUCACAGGGUUCAUUCUCUUGUUACUGCUACGCGGGAUACAGCUCAUCACGUGAAGCCAAUGGGACAUGUAUAGAUAUCGAUGAAUGUCUAAAUAGGCCGUGUGAACACACCUGCCUGAAUACUUUAGGUAGCUACAGGUGCUCCUGCACGCAAAAAUUUACUUUAGCUGAAAAUGGCAUCAGCUGCGUUCCGAAUCCCACAGAGAAACCACAAAACACCCCAACGUCCCAAGAAAAUAAAGACACAUUAAUCACACACUUGAGUCAGUCCCCUGACGGGUAUGGAUCAACAGUCAGUCCCCUGUCACCUAACCAAGAUACGAAAACAGACUCUAUCAAACGCGCAGAAAGUUUCCUCGGCAGUUCUUGGAUUUUGCUGUGUGUGGUAGGUUCAGUUAUUCCAUUGCUUAUACUUAUUGUGAUCACGUCGGUCAUUGUCAUCUACCGAUGGAAACGUUCAAGAAAGACUACCAAGAAAAAUGUCACUGCUGAUAACUAUUGCUGGGUUUCAUCUGGACUGGACAAUCUAGAAAAAAACCAACGCUAAUGUUUUAAGUAUGUGGAAAUGAAAUGUGAAUGACUUUAAUUUAGCUUACAUGCAAAUGUUACAUAUUUUGUCAGCACGAGAGACAUCAGGAAGAUGGACUGUCUCACUAUAAUUCAAACACCUGGAAACCUUUUAAAAUUAUUUUUAUGUGAAGACUAUCCUCCAAACUAAAUUUCAGAUAUCAUGUUUUAUUUUUGAAAAGUAUAAAAAACUCACUGGAAAUUAUAUGUAGUAAAUCAAACGUUGGGCGUAGGCCUAUUAUGUAUUUUAAAUGUUGUAAUAUUAUGCCAUUUUUUAAUUUAAAAAAAUGCGUUGACCAAAACAGUGAUUUCAUAUUUUACAUGUUUGCUAAUGUUGUGUUUCAAACUUUAGACUUCAAACUUUUUGAAUUAUUUAGGUGAUGGUUCAGCACAAGUGCAGUGUGUGUAUUUUUUAAAUAGAAAUUUGGCAAAUGUUUUUAGUUGUUGAAAAAGCAAUUUGACAUCUUUGGGAUUAUUAAUUCAUCCAUCCUCACAAAAUAUCAUAUCCUUUGGCUUUAACCGGGUUGACGGUAACUGAUCAAAAUGCAUAACAUGUUUUUAUGUCAAAUAUAAUGCGAUUCAGUGUCCUGUUGAAAUGACUGUUGCAAUGUUUUAUAAUUUGAUAGAUGUCGUUAAUAAAUUAUUGAUAUUUUAGUAUUGAAUGGAAAAAAGCAAAGAAUAUAUCCAUAAAUUGGUGAUCUAUAUGCCUAUUUUUACUUUUGUAUUGUGUAAAAAGUACACGUGUUUUAAAGGUGCCAUGAAUUAAAAUCACAAUUUUAACCCGAGCUUUUAUUAUAUAAGAGGGAAUCGUAUUCACGCGAACAUCAUGUAAGUGUCAGAACUGAAAACGCCCUUGUUACUGAGAUUGCAUCUGUUAUUGACACCAGGCCCAACGAACGGCAGGUUCUGGAAUGCACCUAUCUAUGACGACAUUGAUAGGUUGAACCCCACCUCCAAAGAAAAAUAUCAAAGACUACUUCUCCAGCCCCGCCCACUGGUACGCGCAUGACAGAACCAGAGGCGCGGAACCAGAUAGAGCUAGCAAGCAAUAAACAAACAUGUCGUUAAAGAUAGCUAAAUAUUGUGCCAUCCCAGGUUGUGGAAGAAUACAGUCGCUGCAUAACCUUCCUUCGGAUUCUGAUAUUAGGAAUGCGGGGUUAAAGUUUAUUUUUAAAGACGUUCCAGGUCAUGUGGGAAAAACAUGGAGCGUUUGUUCGUUUCAUUUCUCCAAGGAUUCCUUCGUGAACAAGGCACUGGAUUUGUGGAGAGACUAAAAUUAAAAAGCAGUGCUGUGCCGUCCAUAUUGGAUCCGAUAGGAAUGGCGCAGCAAUCUUAUCUCCACCCCAUUGGAAAGGACACACCAAGCAUCCUCGUUUAUG